rnacentral:rRNA from 1 species
AGAGUUUGAUCCUGGCUCAGAACGAACGCUGGCGGCAGGCUUAACACAUGCAAGUCGAGCGGGCCCUUUGGGGUCAGCGGCGGACGGGUUAGUAACGCGUGGGAACGUGCCCUUUGCUCCGGAAUAGCCCUGGGAAACCGGGGGUAAUACCGGAUGUGCCCCGAGGGGGAAAGGUUUACCGGCAAGGGAUCGGCCCGCGUCUGAUUGGGUAGUUGGUGGGGUAAUGGCCUACCAAGCCUACGAUCGGUAGCUGGUUUGAGAGGAUGAUCAGCAACACUGGGACUGAGACACGGCCCAGACUCCUACGGGAGGCAGCAGUGGGGAAUCUUAGACAAUGGGCGAAAGCCUGAUCUAGCCAUGCCGCGUGGGUGAUGAAGGCCUUAGGGUCGUAAAGCCCUUUCGCCGGGGAAGAUAAUGACGGUACCCGGUAAAGAAACCCCGGCUAACUCCGUGCCAGCAGCCGCGGUAAUACGGAGGGGGUUAGCGUUGUUCGGAAUGACUGGGCGUAAAGCGCGCGUAGGCGGAUCGCAAAGUUGGGGGUGAAAGCCCAGGGCUCAACCCUGGAAUUGCCUUCAAGACUCGCGGUCUGGAGUUCGAGAGAGGUGGGUGGAAUUCCGAGUGUAGAGGUGAAAUUCGUAGAUAUUCGGAGGAACACCAGUGGCGAAGGCGGCCCACUGGCUCGACACUGACGCUGANNNNNGAAAGCGCGGGGAGCAAACAGGAUUAGAUACCCUAGUAGUCC